UGAGGAAUAUUGGUCAAUGGGCGGAAGCCUGAACCAGCCAAGUAGCGUGCAGGAAGACGGCCCUAUGGGUUGUAAACUGCUUUUAUACGAGAAUAAUUUGAUGCACGUGUGCGUUAUUGCAUGUAUCGUAUGAAUAAGGACCGGCUAAUUCCGUGCCAGCAGCCGCGGUAAUACGGAAGGUCCAGGCGUUAUCCGGAUUUAUUGGGUUUAAAGGGAGUGUAGGCGGUUUGUUAAGCGUGUUGUGAAAUUUAGAUGCUCAACAUUUAACUUGCAGCGCGAACUGUCAGACUUGAGUACACGCAACGUAUGCGGAAUUCAUGGUGUAGCGGUGAAAUGCUUAGAUAUCAUGAAGAACUCCGAUUGCGAAGGCAGCAUACGGGAGUGUAACUGACGCUUAAGCUCGAAGGUGCGGGUAUCGAACAGGAUUAGAUACCCUGGUAGUCCGCACAGUAAACGAUGGAUGCCCGCUGUUAGCGCCUGGCGUUAGCGGCUAAGCGAAAGCAUUAAGCAUCCCACCUGGGGAGUACGCCGGCAACGGUG
rnacentral:rRNA from 1 species